rnacentral:piRNA from 1 species
UGACAUUCAUAAUACAUUUCU